rnacentral:lncRNA from 1 species
AUGAGCACUGGGUGUUAAAUGCAACUGAUGAAUCACUAAAUUCUACCCCUGAAACUAAUAAUACACUGUAUGUUAACUAAAUUGAAUUCAAAUAAAAAAUGAAAAAAAAAACCUGUUAUGUGAUCCAUUCUAGGACAUAUUAUUGUUGGCAUGGAUUCGUAUCAUUGUUUAUAUUCAUAACCUUGUGUUGGCAGGUGCGUGCUUGUUCCUGUGAUGAGUUCAGAGCAACUGCCAUCUGCGCAAUGGGAGGUCCGAAACUGAAAAGGGAAGGGGAAGACUGAAUGUAUUCUGAAAAGUGGGUUGACUGGGAAGACCACACGUUCUCUGGGAAGCUGGAGAAGCAGCCCCUGACAGCUCCAAGGCUCGUAGCCAAACUAUUCCGAGAUCAUAAAAGAAAAGAACUCCUCUCUCCCAGAAUCGGUUUCUUCCAAGGUCCAGAGGCCUUUGUUACCAGCCAAACUUGGUUUGUGUUCCAGUUCUUCUGGCCAGAGGAGUGGAGUCUUUAACCAGAGAAGGAACGUCCCCCAGAUAAGCGGUACCUUCCUCCUUCCCAGUUUAAUGACCAACCUUUCCACGCUUCAUUUUUGACCCUAGGUGGGUAUUAUGGGAGAGAUAUAAAGCAUCUGCCUUAUUUCUUCAACUACCAGUUAAAGUCUGUAUUUGCGUAUAUAUUAUAAACUGUUCCUUUCAUUGUUCAAAUGGUAAAUGUGACUUAAUAUUUGCCCAGGUGGAUAAGAUAGCUGUUUUAUGGGUAUAUUAGAACUGUUAGUUAAUAAAAUCUAACUCAGAGGAAGGUAUUUCA